rnacentral:rRNA from 1 species
UACGUAGGGGGCAAGCGUUGUCCGGAUUUAUUGGGCGUAAAGAGCGUGUAGGCGGCCUGGUAGGUCAGCUGUGAAAACUCGAGGCUCAACCUCGAGACGUCGGUUGAAACCACCUGGCUAGAGUCCGGAAGAGGAGAGUGGAAUUCCCGGUGUAGCGGUGAAAUGCGCAGAUAUCGGGAGGAACACCAAUGGCGAAGGCAGCUCGCUGGGACGGAACUGACGCGUAAGGCGCGAAAGCGUGGGGAGCGAACAGG